CCGACCAUGCUUUUGGUUUCCAGUUUCCCCUGCAGUUCAGGGGCAAGCAGGUAGUAGAGGACAUGGCACUGACUAUGUUCAACCGUGCCCUGAAGCUUUCUGGACCAGGUCUACAAGUCAUGGGUGUUGGAUUUACUGGGUCACUCGCUAGCUCACACCCAAAACAUGGUGACCACAGGAUGGAAAUGUUCCUCGGCACCAUGACGAACAUCAAUGGAGGAACAACCUU